CGGGAGAAAUUCCGACUAAUACCGCAUACGUCCUCCGGGGGCAUCCCCGGGGGAUGAAAGAAUUAUCGGUGAAGGAUGGGCAUGCGUGAUAUUAGGUAGUUGGCGGGGCAACGGCCCACCAAGCCCACGAUAUCUAGGGGUUCUGAGAGGAAGGUCCCCCACAUUGGUACUGAGACACGGACCAAACUCCUACGGGAGGCAGCAGUGAGGAAUAUUGGUCAAUGGACGAGAGUCUGAACCAGCCAAGUCGCGUGAGGGAAGACGGAUCUAUGGUUUGUAAACUUCUUUAGUGCGGGAACAAAGCGGCGUCGUGACGCCUGAUGAGUGUACCGCAAGAAUAAGCAUCGGCUAACUCCGUGCCAGCAGCCGCGGUAAUACGGUGGAUGCGAGCGUUAUCCGGAUUUAUUGGGUUUAAAGGGAGCGCAGGCUGCGAGGCAAGUCAGCGGUCAAAUGUCGGGGCUCAACCCCGGCCUGCCGUUGAAACUGUCCUGCUAGAGUUCGAGUGAGGUAUGCGGAAUGCGUUGUGUAGCGGUGAAAUGCAUAGAUAUGACGCAGAACUCCGAUUGCGAAGGCAGCAUACCAACUCGCGACUGACGCUGAGGCUCGAAAGCGUGGGUAUCGAACAGGAUUAGAUACCCUGGUAGUCCACGCAGUAAACGAUGAAUACUAACUGUUCGGAGGGCGACCUCUGAGUGGUAAAGCGAAAGCGUUAAGUAUUCCACCUGGGGAGUACGCCGGCAACGGUGAAACUCAAAGGAGUUGACGGGGG
rnacentral:rRNA from 1 species